UUAUUUUUAAUAUAUUAAAAAGCAAUAGAACCUUAGCAUAUGCAAGUUCUCAUUGUUUUUGUCUGAACAAAAUAAAAACAUAAUUCAUAACAAAGCAUCAAACUGAGAUUAUACAGCCUGCUCCAGUCUAAGUCCUUCAGCUUCAGCCUCCUAAGUGUCUGAUGAUCCAUGUGUUUAGUUCCGCCUUUUGAAUCUCCCUCUUCAAGAUGUUCGUGGUGCAUUAGGACAAACGCAUUUCCCGUAAACUCCGCCCGUUUACUGUAACUGUAAUAGAAAAGAAAAGGCGGACAUGGGAGACACGGGUUUAUGGAAAUAAAGCAAUGAAGGUAUAACAGUGUUUGAACGAUUCUGAAAACUUGCAUUAACUGAAGUGAGAGAUAACAUAAAGAGCUCAAAAUGGAUGCCAAUCUGACAGACGCCAAAUCUCCAAUCACCACAGAAAGUGAGAGAGACAUCACAGCGGCUCUCUUGCCUUCAGGGAGUUCUCGCAGCCGACCCCACAGUGAAAUGAUUUCCGUUACAGAAACCAGCUGCCAACCUAAGCCAGACCUUUGCGUGGAGCGAAGAUCUAGUGAUUAUGAACACCACUGUUCUGGGUCAGUGCUGUUGAGUUACCCUGCCAAAGUGUGGGACCGGGGAAACAAGGGUCACCUCUUUGAGGCCGAGCUGAAGCCUGAGUCCCGUGCAGGGAUUCAGAUUGCCACAGUUCAUUUUCCUUUGAAAUCAGAAGACCUAGAUCAGGAAGAGAAGGAUGAGCAGUUUUCCCCCUUCUUGGGAAAAGAAGUGAUUUCAGCUUUCCAAGAUGUGACUUCAGGCCCUCAAAUCAACAUCAGAGAUGUCAGGGAAGACCCUGUAGAUUUCAGCAGUUCACCUGAUGUUCAUUAUGAGAAUAAAAGAGUUGAUGUAGAAAAGAAGGAACAAAAUAAUAACAAUGACAGCUCAUCUGCAUGUGAGGAAGCAGACGUAGCUGAACAUGUUCAGGAAACGCUUCUGACACUAAAAGAAACUCCACCAGAUGAGAGACAAGAUGUGGAUACUCUAGCUACUAGCACACCUGCCAGAGAUUUAAGUGAUGGAAAUUCAAGGGAAGGUUCAUUACCUCUUCCAGGCUCUGACUUGGAACCAGAAAUCACAACACUGGAAGAUUUGUCCAUUAAAUCAGAAUCAUGUCCACAUGGGAAUAUAUCACCAUUCUAUACUGAAGAUUUAAGGGAUGAACUCCAACCUCAAAAAAUGAGACAAGAGACUGACAAAGAAGACUUUGCUGAAGAGAUGGAGGAGAGUAUAAGAGAUGUAUCAAGGUCUGAGAAUGACAAAAGUACAGCUAAAGAACAUGGUCCAUCCUUGGUUCAAGGCCUUGAAGAAACAAAUGUCAACUCAAAACGAGGAUGUAAAGUGGAGUUUGCCUCUCAGACCUUCAUAAAGCCAUCAGUUGAAGAGGAGAAAGGGAGAAUCACUCACAGGUUUUUGGAUGAGCUAAGGGAAUUGUACCUUAGUACAUAUUCAAAAGGUCAGCUGUGCUUCUUCCUUCUGGAUUCUGGACUUGUUCUUUCUACAGCCCAAGCUGAGAAAAUCUACAAAAAAAACGUGGUCACCAUGGGAGAUGGUGUGAAAAUAGCUCUAACUCCUACCAUGUGCAGUGACUACCGUUACCAGCUGGACAUCAACUUCAGCAUCACUGAAAAACUGAACGAUUUCUGGUACAGAGGAAUUGACCUGGGGACCAUGGGGAAGUUCCUCAUUAAAAGGGUUUCCGUGGUUUCUGACUGGAGAAAAGCUUUGCAUAACUUCCUCUUUCUCCCACCCAGCUCUUUCAUGUUGCUUCCAUAUGCUGUUAUUAAUGACAGGAAUGGAUUUAUUUACUACUUAAUGCAGGACAAAGAAAUUGAAGACUUUGAGAUGCACCUUAAAGAAAUCUUCUUGAAAAGAAAAGGGGUCUUUGAAGUCUGGCUGCAGUUUCUGACAUUUUGUAAGAGAAACCAACUUCAGCCCCACAACUUCAGAACCUGCAUGCUCGCCACACCACAAGGAGCAUUCUUUGACCCCACAAUGCUCGGAAAUAUGGAAGACCUGUGCUCCUUCAAAAAGAAGCUGGUAACAGUCAUUGCAGAAGAACCCUGGGAGGAUCCUAUGCUGGAAGAGAGGGUGGCCAGUGUGGUAUGGGAGACUGUAGAAGAGAGUGAGGAGGCUGGAGAAGGGUAGAAGGACUUAAGCAGUGCAUACAAACAGUUUAUAUGUCCAGUAACAAUGCCAUACAUAAAGGGAAAACUUUAAGCUGAAAUAAAACAAUCAUCGUAACUGUGUACUUUAUUGUUCAUUAUUACUGUGGUUCAUAUUAACUGAAAUCUUGCAGGAUUGGCAAUAGCACAUUUCCUUUUUUUUUUCUCUGGAUUUUGGAACAACUCGUAAGAUUAUAGAAAACAAGUCUGAUGUGCACUGUGAGGUUCCAUUCUAGUUUCAAAACUUUAGUUAUGGUCACAGUUGUGUGGACUUCAACUUCCACCUUCACCUUAUCAGCCUCUGUGCAUGCCAGCUACUGACAUGAAAAGAGCUUGCAAUCUAAACUAAAACAUACAAAAUCUGCAGUAUUUUCAGUGUUGCCUUUUAACUAAAACAUGCAGUAGUUAGAUCAAUGCAUACCUGAACUACAACUAAAAAAACAGCAUGACAUGUACAAAACAUGUUUAGGAUUAAAUGUUUAUUACAAGGACCAUACCCACUCAAUGAACUCAUGCUGAUCCCAACAUCUCAGAAAAUCAGCAAUUUCAACAUUUAAAUAGACCACACUGGGGCUAUACCAUAUUUAUAAAAAUAAUUUUCAAAUUUGUUUCUUCACCCAACUAUUACUUCAUUUAAAAUGAAAAUUAACAAGAUUAAGAUGUAAAGUUGGUAGAAACAUUUUGCAUCAUGUAGACCAAUUUAUCAAAAGAUUGUUAUUCAGUUUCACUAGUUUAGCAACACAUACCUAAGCAUCUAGAAAGAAAAUGCAUCUGAUACUUAAACAUCAAAAUUUACCUUGGAACCAAUUCUGUUCUUAAGUCUGAGAGUUUGACACCUUAACAAACUGUAACAAACUGUUUACAAACAUACUUGAUCACUAGAUACAUUUUGUUCCACACAUGCCAAUGAAAAUGAUAAAACUACUGGAUUACAGUAUGUCUGACUUUUGUUUUUUAUUUCAGUAUGAUGGAAAACAAAAAAGGAUCUUAAUUCAUUAACACCUGGAAGGCUGAAACUAUACCCACAGCUUAAAACACAAUAAAGAUAUAUUACAAAACUUUUAUUACACUUUUCAUUUCAAAACAAAGUAACGGUUUCAUGUAAAUAUUAUAAAAAGUCUUAAAAUUCACAAGCUGCUUAUGUAAGGUUGUUGCAUUAUUCAACUGUCUUAUUUAAGAAAUCUUUUUAUGAAAAGCAACAUGGGGGAACAUUUUAUGUAUAUAGUUCACAUAAUUCUAAAGAUUGGCUUUCAUAAACUAAAUGUAGGGAAUUACUUGUGAGUGAGCCGAGUGUGGCUUUUGUAUAGGUACUGAUACUGUAUUUUUUGUUUUAGACACCAGAUGGAGCUGAAAGGUCUAUAAGUUUGCUUUUCAUUUAUACAACAGACCAUGUAGGAGAGUGGUGACAAAACUUUUGUUUGUUGUAAAAACUCUUUACUUUUUUUCGUUUUUAAUAGCAUUACACAGAUGAAGAACGGUACAUGUAAACACCAUCUUAAAUAAAAAAAACAGCUUCAAAUCAUAGCUGAUGUGUUUGGGUGCUUUCUACCCAACACCAACUAUAUACAGUAGUGCUAUUGUUACUGUAUUUCCAUUAAUUUGCUCAAAUACAAGCAGUACGGCAUGUACAAUUGUCCCAAAGUUCCGAAACAAUUUGCUACACUUUACCUUUAAAAUGAAACAAACCAUACAUACACGCUUAGGUCUUUGCGAAAUUGUGGAAUUUGUUGCAAGAAGCAUUAUAACUAAUACAACGGGACUGUUAAAAAUUUUUUCCUUAGUUUUUCUGUUGCACUUAGUUCAUAUGUAGCCUUAAUCCACACAAACAGCACUAAUAAGGUUUAAGUAAGAGGUUUAUUCCAUGCUGAAAAUAAGAAAGAAAACACAACGUUUCGGCUGUGGAGACUUCUUCGGGUGUUUCUACCCACCUGAUAUAUUUAUAUAUGUUGAGAUGGAGAUAAAGACAGAUAAUAUAUUUUAUCAUAGUGGUGGUAAACAUAUCAAUUUGAUCAGAAUGGUAUCAUUUGUAGUUAAAAGGUUUACCAAGAGUGUAAUUAAUGGCUGCAUCUCUGCCCUCUGUUAAAUGCAGUGCAGUGCAGCCCCGGCUGAUGAACUUGAAUGGAGUGUGCCGAGUAUAAACUGUGAGUUGAGCUGUAAAAGCCAAAAUUAGACUAACGCCAGUAACUUUGUAUGGGUGAACGUUAUCCACACUAUUGAACUACAGCUUUAGUUUUUUUUGCAUAUUCAGCCUAGGCAGACCCUUAAGGUACUGAAACAAAUUUUCUCGAUUUUAUCAGUUUCUUUCUGAAUUUCUAUGCUUGCUGAUAUGUUAAUAGGCAUUUCAAGAAAAACACCCGCAAGAGAUAAACCAUAAACGUAUUUCACUCAGUCGAUAAGCUUCUCAACAUUUUCUCAUUGACCUAAAGCUUUACAUUGGGGUCCCAAUUAGGAAAACUCUAAUUACUAUCUUGACUUAUAUAAAGAUACCAGCCUACAUCAGUUUAAUUACAGUAAGGUCACAUUUAAAUUGCACUUGGCAAAAGCACAAUAAGGAGAUUUGUUUACCUCACUCUUGCGGGAGCCAGCGUCUUCGCUCACCUUCGUGCAGAAAGUCAUUAUUCCUAGUAUUUAAAUAUUAGGACCGUGUAAACGUAUCCCUAUAUUAAUUUCUUUGAUUGAUAUUUCACAUGACACAAGUGGGAGAAGGCAGGUCUCCUGCAGCCUUACCCUUAAGUAUGUCUUUGCAAGUUCAUAACCUGAACCCUGAAAAAAAACUAACUCUCCUACGCAGAUCAAAUUAGAGGUUCAUGGGAUUCGCCCAUGUUUGGGAGGGGGGUCAGUGACGACUUUUACUUACUCUUUGAUCAUCACAACACUGAAACACCCUUUACUUCAUAUCUUACUUUUUCACUUGGAAAUUCACAAUUUAUUGCUUUAUUUGAAACGACUUCCACAGAAGAUAUCUCCUUGGAUACUUUUUAAAUGGGACGUUCUAUAGUUGGAGAUAGAAAUUAAUGGCUUACUUACCGUGCCCCUAAAUAUAUUGAUACUAGAUGUAAUUUUUCCUCAGUGUAUGUAGAUACAAUACCAUGAGGUAUUAUAAGUAAAUAAGAUAUAAAGCCAUAUAUGACUAAACAGGUCCUUAAAUAAACAACAGAUAUGGAUAUAGUAAAAUCCUAAUAAGAAAAUAAGAAGUAUUAACACAGCACCUCCAGUAACUAAUUCCAAAACUUAUGCCACUCACAAACAGUAGUUUUAAAAACAACUCAAGAACAUAAAUCAUCUUGAACAAAAACUGACAACCUGCACCUAACCAAAAUGCACAGUGACUGUCUUCUUAUGCAGUGCACCCACCACCUGAUGACAUUGCUAACCUUACUGUCAGAAUAAAGCAGACCUUAACACAAUCAGUGUGAGCAAGCAAAUUUCUGCCUGUCCCCAUCACCUCAGGUAAAAGAGUUGCAUCAGUGUUUCUCAACUACCAAAGUAGCGAACCACUGCAAUAAUUCUCUGAAGGGCACUUGUGAUGGAGAGAAGGAGAAAAUGCUGAGAAUCCUGGAUUUAUUUAUUGCCACCUGUCACUUGACCUCUACUCUGAGUUUUCAAAUAUACUGAGAUCUAUUGCCAUGUUGUUGCUGUUUGUAUAGGACCCUAACAUGUACAUUAAUUGAGAUUGGGUGCAGGAAGACUCAUGUUUGCUGAGUGCAAUUCUGCUGUUACAAUUUUAAUUACAAAGGUGUUAAAAUUUCACUGACUCAGACAUGACUGCAUGUGCAAUACUAUACGCCUUCUUUGACAGAAUUACACAGAAAAUGAUCCUUACAUUUACCAACUUACAUCUGCCAGGCACCCUGCUUCCACACUGAGGAGACAAUGACUUCUGGACAGUGAUGCUGACAUCCAACAGCAGCUGAAUUUAAUUCACUCAAAUCCAAAUUGACUGUACUAGAAUGUUGUCUGAGAACCAGGUGUGAGAGAAAUGAUGACAAAACAUCUUAGACUGGAAAUCUUCUAACAGAGCUCAGUGCAAUGCUACUGCAGUAUUUGUAAGAGAUAUUCAGGUUCCUGGUCUCCAGUGCAUCUAUGUGUCUUAGUUAAACUCAGUGGUAUCUCGCUCCUUUGCUACUGCAGUCAGAUUUGCCCUCUUAUCACCCUUCUAUGGCUUCAGUGAAAGAAUCCCAGUGCAUGAUUUAGUGCUCUGCAAUAAAACCUUGAUCUCCAGUGACCAGCUUCGAGUUUUUUCCCUCGCAGUUUUUCUCUUUUGGGAAGGUCAGUGGUGUAUAUUCAGAGCUCCAGAGGUAGUAAAACUCACAUGUCUUCAAAGUCCCUGUCAGAGCAUCCAGACUAACUGGGUAAAGACAGAAAAUAUAAUUCAAUAAAAAUUACUGUCAGCAUAUCCGUGAUUAAUAACACCACAGUCUGUACUCUCCUUCUGUGCUCUUCCUUAGGUCAAAUAUUUCCAGGAUAUACAAUAUUUUAGUGAAACAAUAAUUAAGAGAGACAGUGUUGUGAGGAUGUCUUGGUUAUACAUUUCAUGGUCACAAUAGCUUAUUUUAAAAUGGGAGCAGGAAUAAAU
ensembl:lincRNA